GCCUAACACAUGCAAGUCGAGCGGUAGAGAGAAGCUUGCUUCUCUUGAGAGCGGCGGACGGGUGAGUAAUGCCUAGGAAUCUGCCUGGUAGUGGGGGAUAACGUUCGGAAACGGACGCUAAUACCGCAUACGUCCUACGGGAGAAAGCAGGGGACCUUCGGGCCUUGCGCUAUCAGAUGAGCCUAGGUCGGAUUAGCUAGUUGGUGGGGUAAUGGCUCACCAAGGCGACGAUCCGUAACUGGUCUGAGAGGAUGAUCAGUCACACUGGAACUGAGACACGGUCCAGACUCCUACGGGAGGCAGCAGUGGGGAAUAUUGGACAAUGGGCGAAAGCCUGAUCCAGCCAUGCCGCGUGUGUGAAGAAGGUCUUCGGAUUGUAAAGCACUUUAAGUUGGGAGGAAGGGCAGUAAAUUAAUACUUUGCUGUUUUGACGUUACCGACAGAAUAAGCACCGGCUAACUCUGUGCCAGCAGCCGCGGUAAUACAGAGGGUGCAAGCGUUAAUCGGAAUUACUGGGCGUAAAGCGCGCGUAGGUGGUUAGUUAAGUUGGAUGUGAAAUCCCCGGGCUCAACCUGGGAACUGCAUUCAAAACUGACUGACUAGAGUAUGGUAGAGGGUGGUGGAAUUUCCUGUGUAGCGGUGAAAUGCGUAGAUAUAGGAAGGAACACCAGUGGCGAAGGCGACCACCUGGACUGAUACUGACACUGAGGUGCGAAAGCGUGGGGAGCAAACAGGAUUAGAUACCCUGGUAGUCCACGCCGUAAACGAUGUCAACUAGCCGUUGGGAGCCUUGAGCUCUUAGUGGCGCAGCUAACGCAUUAAGUUGACCGCCUGGGGAGUACGGCCGCAAGGUUAAA
rnacentral:rRNA from 1 species